rnacentral:rRNA from 1 species
UACGUAGGGUGCAAGCGUUGUCCGGAUUUAUUGGGCGUAAAGAGCUCGUAGGCGGUUUGUCGCGUCUGCCGUGAAAGUCCGGGGCUCAACUCCGGAUCUGCGGUGGGUACGGGCAGACUAGAGUGCGGUAGGGGAGGUUGGAAUUCCUGGUGUAGCGGUGAAAUGCGCAGAUAUCAGGAGGAACACCGGUGGCGAAGGCGGGUCUCUGGGCCGUACUGACUGACUGAGGAGCGAAAGCGUGGGGAGCGAACAGG